rnacentral:rRNA from 1 species
CCUACGGGAGGCAGCAGUGAGGAAUAUUGGUCAAUGGGCGCAAGCCUGAACCAGCCAAGUAGCGUGAAGGAUGACUGCCCUACGGGUUGUAAACUUCUUUUAUAAGGGAAUAAAGUGAGGCACGUGUGCCUUUUUGUCUGUGCUUUAUGAGUAAGGGUCGGCUAAUUCCGUGCCAGCAGCCGCGGUAAUACGGAGGAUCCGAGCGUUAUCCGGAUUUAUUGGGUUUAAAGGGAGCGUAGAUGGGGUGUUAAGUCAGCUGUGAAAGUCUGCGGCUCAACCGUAAAAUUGCAAUUGAUACUGGCAGCCUUGAGUACAGUUGAGGUAGGCGGAAUUCGUGGUGUAGCGGUGAAAUGCUUAGAUAUCACGAAGAACUCCGAUUGCGAAGGCAGACUACUAAACUGCCACUGACAUUGAUGCUCGAAAGUGUGGGUAUCAAACAGGAUUAGAUACCCCGGUAGUC